rnacentral:snRNA from 1 species
AUAGCUUCAGCUAACAGGUAAA